GACGAACGCUGGCGGCGUGCCUAAUACAUGCAAGUAGAACGCACAGUUUAUACCGUAGCUUGCUACACCAUAGACUGUGAGUUGCGAACGGGUGAGUAACGCGUAGGUAACCUGCCUGGUAGCGGGGGAUAACUAUUGGAAACGAUAGCUAAUACCGCAUAAUAUUAAUUAUUGCAUGAUAAUUAAUUGAAAGGUGCAAUUGCACCACUACCAGAUGGACCUGCGUUGUAUUAGCUAGUAGGUGAGGUAACGGCUCACCUAGGCGACGAUACAUAGCCGACCUGAGAGGGUGAUCGGCCGCACUGGGACUGAGACACGGCCCAGACUCCUACGGGAGGCAGCAGUAGGGAAUCUUCGGCAAUGGACGAAAGUCUGACCGAGCAACGCCGCGUGAGUGAAGAAGGUUUUCGGAUCGUAAAGCUCUGUUGUAAGAGAAGAACGGGUGUGAGAGUGGAAAGUUCACACUGUGACGGUAUCUUACCAGAAAGGGACGGCUAACUACGUG
rnacentral:rRNA from 1 species